UACGUAGGGUGCAAGCGUUAAUCGGAAUUACUGGGCGUAAAGCGUGCACAGGCGGUUUUGUAAGUCUGUCGUGAAAUCCCCGGGCUCAACCUGGGAAUUGCGAUGGAGACUGCAAGGCUAGAAUCUGGCAGAGGGGGGGUAGAAUUCCACGUGUAGCAGUGAAAUGCGUAGAGAUGUGGAGGAACACCGAUGGCGAAGGCAGCCCCCUGGGUCAAGAUUGACGCUCAUGCACGAAAGCGUGGGGAGCAAACGAGG
rnacentral:rRNA from 1 species